rnacentral:ncRNA from 1 species
GUCUCCGAUAGCAACGAACGUGACCGUACUCUAUUGUUGCAGCGACAAUACCUUUCAACGGGUAUUACCGCUGCUUAGCAAGAUUCGUCUUGCAUUAAACUAUAGAGACCGCUGUUUCUUCUUUAAACCAGAGGAAGGAUACGGCAAUAACAGGUCUGUGAUGCCCUCAGAUGUUCCGGGCUGCACACGUGCUAC